UACAGAGGGUGCGAGCGUUAAUCGGAAUUACUGGGCGUAAAGCGCGCGUAGGCGGCUUUGCAAGUCGGGUGUGAAAUCCCCAGGCUUAACCUGGGAACUGCAUUCGAGACUGCAUUGCUAGAGUAUGGGAGAGGGAAGUGGAAUUUCCGGUGUAGCGGUGAAAUGCGUAGAUAUCGGAAGGAACAUCAGUGGCGAAAGCGACUUCCUGGACCAAUACUGACGCUGAGGCGCGAAAGCUAGGGGAGCGAACGGG
rnacentral:rRNA from 1 species